rnacentral:rRNA from 1 species
AUACGGAGGGUCCAAGCGUUAUCCGGAAUCAUUGGGUUUAAAGGGUCCGCAGGCGGUCAAUUAAGUCAGAGGUGAAAGCCCAUCGCUCAACGAUGGAACUGCCUUUGAUACUGGUCGACUUGAGUUAUACGGAAGUAGAUAGAAUAAGUAGUGUAGCGGUGAAAUGCAUAGAUAUUACUUAGAAUACCGAUUGCGAAGGCAGUCUACUACGUAUAUACUGACGCUGAGGGACGAAAGCGUGGGGAGCGAACAGGAUUAGAAACCCGAGUAGUCC